GACGGAGGAUGCAAGCGUUAUCCGGAAUGAUUGGGCGUAAAGCGUCCGCAGGUGGCAGUUCAAGUCUGCUGUCAAAGACCGGGGCUUAACUUCGGAAAGGCAGUGGAAACUGAACAGCUAGAGUAUGGUAGGGGCAGAGGGAAUUCCUGGUGUAGCGGUGAAAUGCGUAGAGAUCGGGAAGAACAUCAGUGGCGAAGGCGGCCUGCUGGGCUGUUGCUGACGCUGAGGCGCGACAGCGUGGGGAGCAAACAGG
rnacentral:rRNA from 1 species